rnacentral:rRNA from 1 species
UGGGGAAUAUUGCACAAUGGGCGAAAGCCUGAUGCAGCGACGCCGCGUGAGCGAAGAAGUAUUUCGGUAUGUAAAGCUCUAUCAGCAGGGAAGAAAAUGACGGUACCUGACUAAGAAGCUCCGGCUAAAUACGUGCCAGCAGCCGCGGUAAUACGUAUGGAGCAAGCGUUAUCCGGAUUUACUGGGUGUAAAGGGAGCGUAGACGGAGAGGCAAGUCUGGAGUGAAAACCCGGGGCUCAACCCCGGGACUGCUUUGGAAACUGUUUUUCUAGAGUGUCGGAGAGGUAAGUGGAAUUCCUAGUGUAGCGGUGAAAUGCGUAGAUAUUAGGAGGAACACCAGUGGCGAAGGCGGCUUACUGGACGAUGACUGACGUUGAGGCUCGAAAAGCGUGGGGUAGCAAACAGGAUUAGAUACCC